rnacentral:misc_RNA from 1 species
UGGAAGUAAAAGUCGUAACAAGGUUUCCGUAGGUGAACCUGCGGAAGGAUCAUUAACGCGUAGGCCGCUGCCUGGCUAUCCAUGCCUCCCUCCGGGUCUCCCGGGGGUCGAAGCGGGGUACGCCGCCGGCCACAAAAUCGCCCAUUCUUGUCUACCUACCCGGUUGCCUCGGCGGUGCCGCGCGCCCCUCUCCCAGCUGAGGGGGAGCGCCGGCCAGGCGGGAGAUCCGUCUCCCUCCCGGUCCGCGCCCGCCGGAGGACCAUUUGAAAAACCCUUUUAAAUCGUCUCCGUCUGAGCAUAACAAGCAAAUCAGUUAAAACUUUCAACAACGGAUCUCUUGGUUCCGGCAUCGAUGAAGAACGCAGCGAAAUGCGAUAAGUAAUGUGAAUUGCAGAAUUCCGUGAAUCAUCGAAUCUUUGAACGCACAUUGCGCCCCCUGGUAUUCCGGGGGGCAUGCCUGUUCGAGCGUCAUUUCAACCCCUCAAGCCCGGCUUGUGUGAUGGACGACCGUCCCCUCCCCGUCAGACGGAGGGGGACGCGCCCGAAAAGCAGUGGCCAGGCCGCGCUUCCGGCACCUAGGCGAAUGGGACACACCAACCGUCUAAGGGACCGGCCGGUACUGCUGGCCUUGACUGGACUCUUUUGUCCGUUAAAUUUUUUCAGGUUGACCUCGGAUCAGGUAGGGAUACCCGCUGAACUUAAGCAUAUCAAUAA